UACAGAGGGUGCGAGCGUUGUCCGGAAUCACUGGGCGUAAAGGGCGCGUAGGCGGUUCCCUAAGUGUGUGGUGAAAGCUCGGGGCUCAACCCCGAGUCGGCCGUGCAAACUGGGGGACUUGAGCAUGUCAGAGGCAGGCGGAAUUCCGGGUGUAGCGGUGGAGUGCGUAGAUAUCAGGAGGAACACCUGCGGUGUAGACGGCUUACUGGACCAUAACUGACGCUGAGGCACGAAAGCGUGGGUAGCAAACAGG
rnacentral:rRNA from 1 species